CUUAUCGUCCAAAAAGCUACCACUGGUCUAUGAUCCGAUCCCACCAUUCUCAAAUAUUCUGUAUAAGAAUAUGGAAAAAGUGUAUGCCAUUACUCGUUAGCCAAGGCUCUAUCCAGACGACAUCUAACCGUAAAUGCUCCUUUCUCUUUACCUCUUCGUCCUUGCCAUGACAUUUUAUUACCUCGAGCCGGAAAUUCAAGCAAACCACUAUUUCUAAUCAUAUUAUCGAAGGGGUUGAGUAAAUGUUUUGGGUCAAAAGCCAAAAAGUCUAUGAAUUGCUAUUGCGGAAUUCCUUGUUAACGUGCUGGUUAAGUAUGGUGAAUAAAUAUGAUGCUCAACCAUGAUAGCUUUGAAGUAUUUUUUUUUUAUUUUUCUCUGUUUUUUUUUUCUUUUACUAGAAAAAUACUAUAAUAUUUUUAUUGGAAGCCUUAUAAUAAAGUAUUGAAAUGUUUGUUUCGGAUUUGUUGCAUUAUUUAUAAUAAUGAAUAACAUAAAUUUUAAUCAGGACACAAUGGUUAGUAUAAUCAGUGAACUUUUAUCUUUUUAUUGUAUUUAGUUAAUUCCGGCCAAUUGAACUUAAUAUCUUGUUCACUUAUUUUUUCUAUUUGGGCUAAAAUAAUAUUACCGUCCACAAAAAUAAGAAUCUGAAAGUGAAAUUAACUUUCUGAUUAUUUUUUAAAUAUAUCAAUGACAAACUUCAAAUCCGACCCCAGUGAAAACGUCGUAUGUUACUGAAGGA
rnacentral:lncRNA from 1 species